rnacentral:rRNA from 1 species
GGUUAAGCGACUAAGCGUACACGGUGGAUGCCCUGGCAGUCAGAGGCGAUGAAGGACGUGCUAAUCUGCGAAAAGCGUCGGUAAGGUGAUAUGAACCGUUAUAACCGGCGAUGUCCGAAUGGGGAAACCCAGUGCAAUUCGUUGCACUAUCGUUAACUGAAUACAUAGGUUAACGAGGCGAACCGGGGGAACUGAAACAUCUAAGUACCCCGAGGAAAAGAAAUCAACCGAGAUUCCCCCAGUAGCGGCGAGCGAACGGGGAGCAGCCCAGAGUCUGAAUCAGCUUGUGUGUUAGUGGAACGGUCUGGAAAGUCCGACGGUACAGGGUGAUAGUCCCGUACACCAAAAUGCACAGGUUGUGAACUCGAAGAGUAGGGCGGGACACGUGGUAUCCUGUCUGAAUAUGGGGGGACCAUCCUCCAAGGCUAAAUACUCCUGACUGACCGAUAGUGAACCAGUACCGUGAGGGAAAGGCGAAAAGAACCCCGGCGAGGGGAGUGAAAAAGAACCUGAAACCGUGUACGUACAAGCAGUGGGAGCACCUUCGGGUGUGACUGCGUACCUUUUGUAUAAUGGGUCAGCGACUUAUAUUCUGUAGCAAGGUUAACCGUAUAGGGGAGCCGCAGGGAAACCGAGUCUUAACUGGGCGUUAAGUUGCAGGGUAUAGACCCGAAACCCGGUGAUCUAGCCAUGGGCAGGUUGAAGGUUGGGUAACACUAACUGGAGGACCGAACCGACUAAUGUUGAAAAAUUAGCGGAUGACUUGUGGCUGGGGGUGAAAGGCCAAUCAAACCGGGAGAUAGCUGGUUCUCCCCGAAAGCUAUUUAGGUAGCGCCUCGUGAAUUCAUCUUCGGGGGUAGAGCACUGUUUCGGCUAGGGGGUCAUCCCGACUUACCAACCCGAUGCAAACUACGAAUACCGAAGAAUGUUAUCACGGGAGACACACGGCGGGUGCUAACGUCCGUCGUGAAGAGGGAAACAACCCAGACCGCCAGCUAAGGUCCCAAAGUCAUGGUUAAGUGGGAAACGAUGUGGGAAGGCACAGACAGCCAGGAUGUUGGCUUAGAAGCAGCCAUCAUUUAAAGAAAGCGUAAUAGCUCACUGGUCGAGUCGGCCUGCGCGGAAGAUGUAACGGGGCUAAACCAUGCACCGAAGCUGCGGCAGCGACACUAUGUGUUGUUGGGUAGGGGAGCGUUCUGUAAGCCUGCGAAGGUGACCUGUGAGGGUUGCUGGAGGUAUCAGAAGUGCGAAUGCUGACAUAAGUAACGAUAAAGCGGGUGAAAAGCCCGCUCGCCGGAAGACCAAGGGUUCCUGUCCAACGUUAAUCGGGGCAGGGUGAGUCGACCCCUAAGGCGAGGCCGAAAGGCGUAGUCGAUGGGAAACAGGUUAAUAUUCCUGUACUUGGUGUUACUGCGAAGGGGGGACGGAGAAGGCUAUGUUAGCCGGGCGACGGUUGUCCCGGUUUAAGCAUGUAGGCUGAUUGUCCAGGCAAAUCCGGAUAAUCAAGGCUGAGGUGUGAUGACGAGGCACUACGGUGCUGAAGUAACAAAUGCCCUGCUUCCAGGAAAAGCCUCUAAGCAUCAGGUAACAUUAAAUCGUACCCCAAACCGACACAGGUGGUCAGGUAGAGAAUACCAAGGCGCUUGAGAGAACUCGGGUGAAGGAACUAGGCAAAAUGGUGCCGUAACUUCGGGAGAAGGCACGCUGGUGUGUAGGUGAAGUCCCUGCGGAUGGAGCUGAGACCAGUCGAAGAUACCAGCUGGCUGCAACUGUUUAUUAAAAACACAGCACUGUGCAAACACGAAAGUGGACGUAUACGGUGUGACGCCUGCCCGGUGCCGGAAGGUUAAUUGAUGGGGUUAUCCGUAAGGAGAAGCUCUUGAUCGAAGCCCCGGUAAACGGCGGCCGUAACUAUAACGGUCCUAAGGUAGCGAAAUUCCUUGUCGGGUAAGUUCCGACCUGCACGAAUGGCGUAAUGAUGGCCAGGCUGUCUCCACCCGAGACUCAGUGAAAUUGAACUCGCUGUGAAGAUGCAGUGUACCCGCGGCAAGACGGAAAGACCCCGUGAACCUUUACUAUAGCUUGACACUGAACAUUGAGCCUUGAUGUGUAGGAUAGGUGGGAGGCUUUGAAGCGUGGACGCCAGUCUGCGUGGAGCCAACCUUGAAAUACCACCCUUUAAUGUUUGAUGUUCUAACGUUGGCCCCUGACCGGGGUUGCGGACAGUGUCUGGUGGGUAGUUUGACUGGGGCGGUCUCCUCCCAAAGCGUAACGGAGGAGCACGAAGGUUAGCUAAUCCUGGUCGGACAUCAGGAGGUUAGUGCAAUGGCAUAAGCUAGCUUGACUGCGAGCGUGACGGCGCGAGCAGGUGCGAAAGCAGGUCAUAGUGAUCCGGUGGUUCUGAAUGGAAGGGCCAUCGCUCAACGGAUAAAAGGUACUCCGGGGAUAACAGGCUGAUACCGCCCAAGAGUUCAUAUCGACGGCGGUGUUUGGCACCUCGAUGUCGGCUCAUCACAUCCUGGGGCUGAAGUAGGUCCCAAGGGUAUGGCUGUUCGCCAUUUAAAGUGGUACGCGAGCUGGGUUUAGAACGUCGUGAGACAGUUCGGUCCCUAUCUGCCGUGGGCGCUGGAGAAUUGAGGGGGGCUGCUCCUAGUACGAGAGGACCGGAGUGGACGCAUCACUGGUGUUCGGGUUGUCAUGCCAAUGGCACUGCCCGGUAGCUAAAUGCGGAAGAGAUAAGUGCUGAAAGCAUCUAAGCACGAAACUUGCCCCGAGAUGAGUUCUCCCUGAGACUAUAAGUCUCCUGAAGGAACGUUAAAGACGAUGACGUUGAUAGGCCGGGUGUGUAAGCGCAGCGAUGCGUUGAGCUAACCGGUACUAAUGAACCGUGAGGCUUAACCUU